GACGAACGCUGGCGGCGUGCUUAACACAUGCAAGUCGAACGAUGAACCCGGAGCUUGCUCUGGGGGAUUAGUGGCGAACGGGUGAGUAACACGUGAGUAACCUGCCCUGGACUCUGGGAUAAGCGUUGGAAACGACGUCUAAUACCGGAUAGGGCCUUGGAUCGCAUGAUCUGGGGUGGAAAGUUUUUUCGGUCUGGGAUGGACUCGCGGCCUAUCAGCUUGUUGGUGAGGUAAUGGCUCACCAAGGCGUCGACGGGUAGCCGGCCUGAGAGGGUGACCGGCCACACUGGGACUGAGACACGGACCAGACUCCUACGGGAGGCAGCAGUGGGGAAUAUUGCACAAUGGGCGAAAGCCUGAUGCAGCAACGCCGCGUGCGGGAUGACGGCCUUCGGGUUGUAAACCGCUUUUAGUAGGGAAGAAGGGCUUCGGCUUGACGGUACCUGCAGAAAAAGGACCGGCUAACUACGUG
rnacentral:rRNA from 1 species